AUUACACAGCUGUAAGUAUUCAGAGUGGGCAGAGUGGGCAUCCCAUACCAGGAAGUGCCUCACACAGUAUCAAGCCUUGGCCAAUAAGAGCAGGCCUAUUAGCUGAACUCAGCCCUGGCAGUUAACCAGCAGCAGCUUUUCAAACCCAACUAACCCAACUGCCGAGUAGCAGCAGAGGAGGGUGAGUGACGGUGUGGAUUCCCCGCUGGGCAGCAACGUGGGGGCAAUGGCCAAAAUAAACCAGGCGGGCGAUUGGGAUAUUGGCCCCGAUUGGGAAGUUUUUGAAUUAGUUUACAGACUCCUGGAUAUGUCUAUACCCCUUAAAGAUGUGCUGUUACCAACAGCUACUGGUAAUGCCCAGCUGAAUUCCCCAUUGCCCCCAAGCAGCAGUGAUAUGAAUUUGCCCCCAAGCAGCAGUGAUAUGAAUUUGCCCCCAAGCAGCAGUGAUAUGAAUUUGCCUCCAAGCAGCAGUGAUAUGAAUUUGCCUCCAAGCAGCAGUGAUAUGAAUUUGCCCCCAAGCAGCAGUGAUAUGAAUUUGCCUCCAAGCAGCAGUGAUAUGAAUUUGCCUCCAAGCAGCAGUGAUAUGAAUUUGCCUCCAAGCAGCAGUGAUAUGAAUUUGCCUCCAAGCAGCAGUGAUAUGAAUUUGCCCCCAAGCAGCAGUGAUAUGAAUUUGCCCCCAAGCAGCAGUGAUAUGAAUUUGCCCCCAAGCAGCAGUGAUAUGAAUUUGCCCCCAAGCAGCAGUGAUAUGAAUUUGCCCCCAAGCAGCAGUGAUAUGAAUUUGCCUCCAAGCAGCAGUGAUAUGAAUUUGCCUCCAAGCAGCAGUUAUAUGAAUUUGCCCCCAAGCAGCAGUGAUAUGAAUUUGCCUCCAAGCAGCAGUGAUAUGAAUUUGCCCCCAAGCAGCAGUGAUAUGAAUUUGCUUGCAGACCCCAAAAAUGCCCCAUUACAGAGGUGCCCAACCAAAGCUCCGGUGCCUACAGACAAGCACAGUUCCUUAUGCCCCAUCAUGGCACCUCCCUGCCAUCAGGCUGAAGACACCGGGCCUCUCUCACAGAUGGGUGCCCUCCUAGACCAACUGUUCCAAACCCACUCAGCCUCAGUAGGGAGUGAGGAGUUCCUGAGGCUGCCAGGAGAUCUGUUUAAGCAGGGAAUAGAGGCGCAGAACCAGUGGCACCACAGACUGAUGGAGGACCACCAGCGCCAUAGAUUGGCCAAUCUAGAGAUGGCCCAGAUGCAGCUACGUUACAAUAGGAGCAGCUCAUUAUCACCAGCGCCAUUUUCUCAGGAGCAUUUCCCUCAGUUCCAGGAUGUGAGCGAAGAUACCGAUUGGGUCCUGCUGAAUUUUGAGAAACUCUGUGCCAUGUGCAACGUGCCGGAACCAGACCGGGUCUUCUAUCUGCCCAAUGCGCUCAAGAGCAAGGCGAUGGGGUGCUACGUCGAUGUGCCCAUGGGUGCCUGCUGCGAUUACCCAGCCAUAAAGGCUGCCUUGCUGAAACCGUACGACGGUGAGCCCGAGAUACACCGCGUCAAGUUCCGAGAUAUGGCGCUGAAGGCAGGAGAAACGUUCAACAGCUUCUACCAGAGACUCCAUUACCGCUAUGACCGCUGGAUGGAGGCCUCCGACAUAAAGCAAUUCAAGGACUGCUAUCGGCCUCUGGUGUUGGAGCAACUGCUCCAGAAGUGUCCGGCUAUAGUCCGGCAGAAGGUUCUAAAGCACAAGGGCUGCUCCCCGUAUCAGGCUGCCCAAAUUGCAGACGAUCAUCUUCAUCUCCAUCCGGAACCGGCUUCUCAGCCCAGACUGGACAGAUGCCCUCCCCCACCCAUAACAGAUAAAAAUACAGAUGCCUCUCUGCUUCAACAUUGCUCCACGGACAAUGAAAGCAUCUUGGAUUUGCUGGAUUUAUUCGAGUGCCGUUCCACCUUCCAUCAACUGCCCAAAUCCCAAUGGGUCAAGUAUUUAUGUGGCAAACUGAAGGGCAAAUUGCUGGACGUCUGCCUGUCCAUCCCACAAGAACACAAGCGCGAUUAUGAUUUUGUAAAGGCAGAAAUUUUAAGGUUCUACGGAAUCACCCCGGAGACCCAUCGGAUCAAGUUCCGAACCAUCCAACGUCAGGAUGAUCAACCCUUCACGGCUUUUUAUCAGAACCUUCUGUGCCACUAUAAUAGGUGGAUGGCGGCCUGUGAAGUGCAGACGAUUGAGCAGUGCGCCAACCUGAUGGUGGUGGAACAACUGCUCACUCGGUGCCCCCCUGAGGUACAGGGAAGGGUGACUUCUAUGCAAAAGCCCCCAACGCCAGAAGCCGUAGCCAGAAUUGCCGAUAAGUAUAUGAUCCUCCAUGCGGAUCUGCAGCAGAACCUCACCCCCCAUGAAACCGGUCCCUGAGGCAUCACCGAUUGUAAGGAGGCCAAGCCAAGUGGCUUUCCAAGAUGGAAGAAAGCAAGGACCGAGAAAUGAGCAGAAAAGCGGGCCAAGGCCAAGAUAUGCAAGUUAAUUGUCCUGGGCAACCCCAAAAUCAGUUCAGGGGAACCAGGUCUUCCCUUGGCCAUGUUGGGCAUGACUCUAAUGCCUUCCCUUGGCCAUGUUGGGCCUGACUCUAAUGCCUUCCCUUAGCCAUGUAGGGCCUGACUCUAAUGCCUUCCCUUAGCCAUGUAGGGCCUGACUUUAAUGCCUUCCCUUAGCCAUGUUGGGCAUGACUCUAAUGCCUUCCCUUAGCCAUGUUGGGCAUGACUAAUGCCUUCCCUUAGCCAUGUGGGGCAUGACUCUAAUGCCUUCCCUUAGCCAUGUGGGGCAUGACUCUAAUGCCUUCCCUUAGCCAUGUGGGGCAUGACUCUAAUGCCUUCCCUUAGCCAUGUUGGGCAUGACUCUAAUGCCUUCCCUUAGCCAUGUUGGGCAUGACUCUAAUGCCUUCCCUUAGCCAUGUUGGGCAUGACUCUAAUGCCUUCCCUUAGCCAUGUUGGGCAUGACUCUAAUGCCUUCCCUUAGCCAUGUUGGGCAUGACUCUAAUGCCUUCCCUUAGCCAUGUGGGGCAUGACUCUAAUGCCAACAAGCACAGAUACGGAUGUUGCUGUAUUUCACUAUAUCCCCCAUAUUAUGGCAAAUGCUCAAUAAAAUUGUUUAACAAUA